rnacentral:lncRNA from 1 species
UUUUUUUUUUUUGCUAUUGUUAGACCGUCAUGCAGCAAAAUGUGGAACUCCUCCCCGCCCCUCUACGUCUUCCAUCUCUCACCAAGACAGUUUCCUUGUCACGGUGAAGUGAAAACGAGAUACAACUGCAGUUGUUCUAGGUCUAUCUGAUGAAUCAUUCUCAGCCUGUUUUUACUGUCUGACCCUUUANUUUUUUUUUUUUUGGUCUUUUUGUCUUUUUUUGUUGCUGUUGUUGUUGUUGUUUGUUGCUAUUUCUUGGGCCGCUCCCGCGGCAUAUGGAGGUUCCCAGGCUAGGGGUUGAAUCGGAGCUGGAGCCACUGGCCUACGCCAGAGCCACAGCAACGCGGGAUCCGAGCCACAUCUGCAACCUACACCACAGCUCACGGCAACGCCGGAUCGUUAACCCACUGAGCAAGGGCAGGGACCGAACCUGCGACCUCAUGGUUCCUAGUCGGAUUCGUUAACCACUGCGCCACGACGGGAACUCCAAGACAUGAUCAUUCUCAAGGACCUAUUAGAUGGGGUUGGAGGGAACCUGCCCUAUGAAAACAGAUUCAUGUGGAGUUCCCCGUCGUGGCUCAGCGGGAAAUGAAUCUGACUGGCGUCCGUGAGGACACAGGUUCGAUCCCUGGCCUUACUCAGUGGGUUAAGAGCCUGGCAUUACUGUGAGCUGUAGGUUGGAGACACGGCUCAGAUCCCGAGUUGCUGCGUCUGUGGUGUAGGCUGGCAGGUGUAGCUCCUAUUGGACCCCUAACCUGGGAACUUCCGUAUGCCAUGGGUGGGGACCUAAAAAGACAAAAGACAAAAACAAACAAAAAAACAGAUUCGUGCUAGGAAAGGUCAAUAAAGGCAAUAAAAAUAAAUAUUUAUUACAUGCUUACUAGGUGCCAGGCAGAGUCAAGUCAUACAUAAACAUUACUUUAACUAGCCCUAAUAAUUAAUCCUUCUGUGAGAGAGGCAGGUAUUAAUAUCAUCCCCACUUCACAGAUGAGGAACCUCUUGGAGAGAUAGAGUAACUUGCCCAAGGUCGCACAGCUGGUAAGCGAUGGAGCUGGGUUAGCUAACCCAGUACCCAUUCUCUUAAUCCCUAUAAUAUAAGGGCACUUGAGCAAGGUCAUAAUGGAAGCAGCGAGAAUCAUCAAGGUAAUAAACAAGAAGUAAAAUUCAAGCUCAUCACUUCUCAGUCUGAGUUCACCAAAGAUGGUCCAUGGUUUGGGUUGAGGAGGGGCUAUACAUUAUCCUCACCAAUUCAAAUAGUCUAACGCAUGGAUUCUUCAUCUUUCUUGUGCCGUGGACUCUUAUGGGUAUUAGCGUAGCCUACAGACACCUCUCAGAAUGUUUUUAGAUAUAUGAGUCCUAUAGAUAUGUAUAUAUAUAAUAUAUAUAAUGUAUGCAUAAUAUAUAUACAGUAUAGAUUACAAAUGAAGCCAUUACAUUGAAAUGAUCAAAACAGUUAAACAUGAAUUUGUGAAACGGCAACAUAACAGACUUCUAUAUGAACACACGCAAAAGAGCAAACCGUGGGUCUGAUAACUGAUGUAACCUUGAAGUACUGAUGGUCCUAAGCAUCCUGCAACAGCACCUGUCUUCGACAUGAAAACAUCUCUGCUUUCUACGGCGACAAGGUCAAUGGCACCGUUAACACUGCUGUGGUUUGUUGCCUACAUUCAUAAUGGAAGGAAAUGCUAAAUUUCAUAAUUCAUAAUGGAAGGAAAUGGUGUUUCAGUUAGUGAGUCUGAUUCCCAUAAAUGGACAGAAUCUGCACAGAUCUAGAAGAUGGAGACAAAGAACCCAUGGAUCAGAACAUCCCUCUUUGUAGAAGUCAGCAGAGCUGGGAGAGAGAUGAAGAUUCUGGUGAACGACUUCUGUGACAAAGCCAAAACAGUUUCCCAGAAAUUAGCUGCAUUUGGAGCUCAGAAUCGAGCACGAAGAAGUGGUCUCAGGAAGCAGGUGGAGAACCUUCUUCCAAAACAGCUCCUCAUGUGACCUUCCGUGGCCCAGGAAUCCCCUUCUCUGACCUCUUUGCAUCCUGAAGUCAUCCUACUGCUGCCACUUGAAACGUUCCGAAGCUCUGAAGACAUGCUUAAACAUCUUCCAUGGAGACAACUACUGUGUCCUGCCACUUAUAUGAGAUACUUAGAGUAGAGUCACAUUCAUGGAGACAGGGGUACAACAGGGGCUGCCAGGGGCUCAGAGAGGGGGGAUGGGGAGUCGAUGUUUUAUUAUGGAGCUUCAGCUUUAUAAGAUGAAAAGAUCUGUGGAGACGGAUGGGUGGUGAUGGCUGUACAGCAUCAUGAGUGCCUUUAAUACUGUAUAUUGAAAAAUGGUGAAGAUGGCCAAUUUUGUUAUGUAUAUGUUACCACAAUAAAAAAAAA